GCCGCCGUGGCUCAGUCGGUAGAGCGUCGCAUUGGUAAUGCGGAGGUCGUGGGUUCGAUUCCCAUCGGUGGCU
rnacentral:tRNA from 1 species